rnacentral:rRNA from 1 species
GAUGAACGCUAGCGGCAGGCUUAAUACAUGCAAGUCGAGGGGUCAGCAAUGACACCGGCGGACGGGUGCGUAACGCGUAUGCAACCUACCUACAUCAAGGGGAUAGCCCUAGGAAACUGGGAUUAACACCGCAUAAUAGUAUUGAUGGCAUCAUUGAUAUUUGAAAUAUUUAUAGGAUGUAGAUGGGCCUGCGUAAGAUUAGCUAGUUGGUAAGGUAACGGCUUACCAAGGCUACGAUCUUUAGGGGCUCUGAGAGGAGUAUCCCCAACACUGGCACUGGGAUACGGGCCAGACUCCUACGGGAGGCAGCAGUAGGGAAUAUUUGGCAAUGGAGGCAACUCUGACCCAGCCAUGCCGCGUGCAGGAAGACGGCCCUCUGGGUUGUAAACUGCUUUUGAAUGGGAAGAAUGUGAUGUUUGCGAGCAUUAAUGACGGUACCAUUAGAAUAAGCCACGGCUAACUACGUGCCAGCCGCCGCGGUAACAC